AGAGUUUGAUCCUGGCUCAGAUUGAACGCUGGCGGCAUGCCUUACACAUGCAAGUCGAACGGCAGCACGGGGGCAACCUGGUGGCGAGUGGCGAACGGUGAGUAAUAUAUCGGAACGUACCCAGUAGUGGGGGAUAACUAUCCGAAAGGAUAGCUAAUACCGCAUACGAUCUGUGGAUGAAAGCAGGGGAUCUUCGGACCUUGUGCUAUUGGAAUGGCCGAUAUCUGAUUAGCUAGUUGGUAGGGUAAAAGCCUACCAAGGCGACGAUCAGUAGCUGGUCUGAGAGGACGACCAGCCACACUGGAACUGAGACACGGUCCAGACUCCUACGGGAGGCAGCAGUGGGGAAUUUUGGACAAUGGGGGCAACCCUGAUCCAGCAAUGCCGCGUGAGUGAAGAAGGCCCUCGGGUUGUAAAGCUCUUUUGUCAGGGAAGAAACGGUGAUCUCUAAUAUAGAUUGCUAAUGACGGUACCUGAAGAAUAAGCACCGGCUAACUACGUGCCAGCAGCCGCGGUAAUACGUAGGGUGCAAGCGUUAAUCGGAAUUACUGGGCGUAAAGCGUGCGCAGGCGGUUUUGUAAGUCUGAUGUGAAAUCCCCGGGCUCAACCUGGGAACUGCAUUGGAGACUGCAAGGCUAGAGUGUGUCAGAGGGGGGUAGAAUUCCACGUGUAGCAGUGAAAUGCGUAGAGAUGUGGAGGAAUACCGAUGGCGAAGGCAGCCCCCUGGGAUAACACUGACGCUCAUGCACGAAAGCGUGGGGAGCAAACAGGAUUAGAUACCCUGGUAGUCCACGCCCUAA
rnacentral:rRNA from 1 species